rnacentral:rRNA from 1 species
GUGAACGCUGGCUACAGGCUUAACACAUGCAAGUCGAGGGGAAACGACGGGGAAGCUUGCUUCCCCGGGCGUCGACCGGCGCACGGGUGAGUAACGCGUAUCCAACCUGCCUCUGACUGAGGGAUAACCCGUCGAAAGUCGGCCUAAUACCUCAUGGCAUCGUCUGCGGGCAUCCAACGACGAUUAAAGAUUUCAUCGGUCAGGGAUGGGGAUGCGUCUGAUUAGCUUGUUGGCGGGGUAACGGCCCACCAAGGCAAUGAUCAGUAGGGGUUCUGAGAGGAAGGUCCCCCACAUUGGAACUGAGACACGGUCCAAACUCCUACGGGAGGCAGCAGUGAGGAAUAUUGGUCAAUGGGCGGGAGCCUGAACCAGCCAAGUAGCGUGCAGGAAGACGGCCCUAUGGGUUGUAAACUGCUUUUAUGCGGGGAUAAAGUGAGGGACGCGUCCCUUUUUGCAGGUACCGCAUGA